rnacentral:rRNA from 1 species
CGUAGGGCCCGAGCGUUAUCCGGUAUUAUUGGGCGUAAAGAGUACGUAGGCGGUUAUGCAAGACAAUGGUUAAAGCUCCGGGCUCAACCCGGAAAUCGCCGUUGUAACUGCAUGACUAGUCGGUAGCAGGGGGCAAGCGGAAUUCUCGGUGUAGGAGUGAAAUCCGUUGAGAUCGAGAAGAACACCAAUGGCGAAGGCAGCUUGCUAGGUUACUUGAGACGCUGAGGUACGAAAGCGUGGGGAGCGAACGGGAUUAGAUACCCCGGUAGUCCACGCCGUAAACGAUGCACACUAGCUAUCAGAAGUAUCGACCCUUCUUGUAGCGUAGCUAACGCGUUAAGUGUGCCGCCUGGGAAGUACGGUCGCAAGACUA